rnacentral:lncRNA from 1 species
GGCACCUGAAUUAUGUUUUUCAAUCGAUUUUAUGAACUUUUUCCUUUUAAAGCUUUUUUUAUUUCUAUUUUUUUCUAGCAAUCUGAUUAUGUUUCUAAUUUUUGGUCUGAUAUGAAAACUCUGUAAAAAAAUUAAUAUUUGGCUACUAAAGAUCCGACUUUACGUGUGGUAUUUUUUACCUCAAUUUCUUUAAUUCCUAACCAAACACAAUUCUUUUUUUGCAUUUGUGUACAUAAACUUCAACCAUUGGUAAAUUCGGCAAGAUACGAAACUUUCAAUUUCUAAAAACAUUCUCAUUCCAAUAUUUUAAUAAUAUGUGAAUCUUAAUAAUUUUAGAAUUUAUU